AUUGAACGCUGGCGGCAUGCCUUGCACAUGCGAGUCGAACGGCAGCACGGGUGCUUGCACCUGGUGGCGAGUGGCGAACGGGUGAGUAAUACAUCGGAACGUACCUUAUCGUGGGGGAUAACGCAGCGAAAGCUGUGCUAAUACCGCAUACGCCCUGAGGGGGAAAGCGGGGGAUCGAAAGACCUCGCGCGAUUAGAGCGGCCGAUGCCUGAUUAGCUUGUUGGUGGGGUAAAAGCCCACCAAGGCGACGAUCAGUAGCUGGUCUGAGAGGACGAUCAGCCACACUGGGACUGAGACACGGCCCAGACUCCUACGGGAGGCAGCAGUGGGGAAUUUUGGACAAUGGGGGCAACCCUGAUCCAGCAAUGCCGCGUGAGUGAAGAAGGCCUUCGGGUUGUAAAGCUCUUUUGUCAGGGAAGAAACACCGGCUCUAACACAGUCCGGGAAUGACGGUACCUGAAGAAUAAGCACCGGCUAACUACGUGCCAGCAGCCGCCGUAA
rnacentral:rRNA from 1 species